rnacentral:rRNA from 1 species
GUCUACGGCCAUGCAGCCCUGAACAAGCCCGAUCCCGUCUGAUCUCGGAAGCUAAGCAGGGUCGGGCCUGGUUAGUACUUGAAUGGGAGACCACCAGGUGCCGUAGGCG